GGCUACGUAGCUCAGCUGGUUAGAGCACGGCACUCAUAAUGCCGGGGUCCCCUGUUCAAAUCAGGGCGUAGCCACCA
rnacentral:tRNA from 1 species